UGCCUCUGCCACCCUGCUCGGGCCAGUCACAGUCAGACUAAGUCAUUUAGAGUGUCCCUGGGGUAAGAUUAGGCAUUCAGUAUUCCUUAAAAUAAAAAAAGUGCCUUUGUUGUUACUUUUGUUUAUAUUUACAAAAAUGAAGGCUGAGCUACUUAGCAGCAAGGCACUGCUUUGUGAGCUGUCAAACCGCUUGCCUUUACUUCCAGCUGCUACCCUGAGUCUGAUAACACCGUUCAUAACAGCCGAGUGAAGGUACAGACUCUUCAGUUUCUAUUUCAUCAAACAUUCAGUACUGUGCUAAUUGUGUUAAUAAGGCUGAGAAGAAUGAACUAAGAAUCUAAAAAUAAUAUCCAUGCUAAUGAGUCAUGAUGCCUUUUGUGGUACUGCAUUAUUUGGGGGGGGGGGAAUGUGAGGAAUCCAGAUGAACGCAAGUCAUGACAUAUUAAUGAUUUCAAACGUGUGCUGGGCUGGAAUUGGCAGAACAGAAAGUGUCAUGAAUAAUUCACAUAAGACAUCAGUUGUUUUUCCUUCAUGCAAAAGGUUAAAAUAUAAAAAUGGGGGAAAGGAACAUACAGAAAGGUGGGCUUGUGUGUUACUAUGUGCUGUGAUCUCCUUACAGUGGACGGUUAACACAGGUUCAAGCAACGCAGCAGCCAUCAAAUCAGUUCAAGGGGUGAUACUGAAAUCCCUUGACAGCACACUUAGCUCUUCCUCACUCUGGCAGCUGCUGGAGAAAGUUAAGACUAUAUAUUAGAUACCCGGUGAGUUUGAGUCUAUUUUUUGAACACAGAUCUCCUAAUCCUGAAUGCAUAGACCCCAGGAAGAAAGGAGAAAGGAAACAGCAGUGAGGGCUUUGGUUGAAUCCAGUCUCUGCUUAUCUCCACCACGCAAGCAGCCUCACCAGGGAGUAGGGCGGCUGCAUCUGAAAGGAUGCUCUAGCUGAUGGCAGCUGUGAACCAGCCGGUGGCACAAACCCAUAGGGUCACCUCUUUGCUUUAAUAUGAUCUGUGUUGACCUUUUCCUCUUCUUAAGCUGCUUUUGAAAGCAAAACUGUAAUACACCAAAGAAAAUAGCCCCUAAGCCAGGUGUGGUAUGCACAGCUGUGAUCCCACCACAUGGAAAGCACGUGUGAACAGCCUGAACUGUGCAGUGAGAUCCUGUCACAAUACAUUAAUUAACUCAUCAACAGUCUACUUUAGUUGUAUAUAUGUUGUCAUGAGUUAAUAUGUGCAGCAUCAAAUUUCUGUCAGAUCUACAUGAUAUAUUUGUAUUGUGCAAAUAGAAUACAUUGUGUAUAUUAUAAAACUUGUAAUAAACAUAAAAAAAUUAACUUAUAAGGAAAAAAAAAAAGACCAGGGCUGGAAAAGUGGCUCAGUGGUUAAGAACACUUGCUGUACAAUCGUGAGGACCAGAGUGCAGGUCCCAGCAUCGACGUCAGGCAAGUCACGGCCAUCUGUAACUCAAGAGCCAGAAAAUCUCAAGUUCUCCUCUGGCCUCUGUGGGUGCUGCACACAUGCAUGCAUGCAUCCACAUAGCCACAUGGACAUAGAGACACACACACACAUAAAAACAGAAAUAGAAAAUAAAAACAGAUCCUUAAUUUUUUUUUUUUUCUGAAUUCACAUGGCAACUCUUCUCUUACAAGCUGCCAGCCCUCAAAUUCAUCAUUUACAUCUGGAUGCUUCAGCUUCCUGUGUGGCAUGAAGAUAGUAAAAGAACCUAUCUCUUAGGAUUGCAAAUCAAGUGAUAUAUUUACAUGUUUAUACACACACCCACCACCUAGUACAAUGACUAGGUUGCUAGUAAUUGGUAAACACAGUAGCUAUUUUCCUUGUUUAGAUAUUUCAUCAAGGGAAAAUAUAUACAUUAAUACAAAUAUAUCUUUCCUGUUAAUAUCAUGAUAUUAUGCAUUUAUUUAUGAUAUUUAAGAAUAUAUUUAUAUAUGUUCAUUAUUUCUCUAUGAUAUAUAUUUAUGUACAUAUAUUUAUAUAUUUGUUUAUGGUAUACAGAUAUGUCAUAGGUAAAUAUAGAUAGUAUAGAUGAUAAAUCUUUAUUCACAGUUUUCAAUAGUUUCUCAUUCACAUUUAAUGUGUAAAAUAGAAUUGCUUCAGACCUCAAUUUUGACAGACCAGAAACGUUUUCCUUACUUUUAAAAUCACUAACUCAGAGUGAGAAGAUGAAGCUUACACUGGACGGUGUCAUGGAUUUUAUCAUUUGGAUUUAUCUGUAUUUGUUUGCUGGCUGAUUUGGUCCUUUCCCUGGAGUUUAAUGGAAGCAGGGAGCUUUGCCCAGCAACCUGCAGGAGAAACAGUGUUUCACUCUCAACCCAGUGCCCUUCUCCUGCAGCAACAUCAGCAGCACUGCAGAAAGAGACUGGCUAGUGUAGGGAGGGGCCGAGAGACACUGCUUUAGUGUGCAUUUACUCAGUCAGUGUAAUACUUGCGUUUCUACUGUUAAUAACACAACAAGACCAUUCUCCUAUUUACCUCACAAAUUGCAGUCUGAAAGGGUUCAGAGUAGCGUAAAAUGUAUGAAAAUGUCUCUGGUGCAUUUUCAAAGAGGACAACCACAGUUCCUUUUCAGAUUCGCUUCAGUGUGGGAAUGAAAACCUCACUUAAUGAAAAACAGCAUGUUGCAAACGUAUAUAUAUUAGCAUUAACACAUUCAGUACAGCUUCCAGGCUGUAUGGCAAUUGGGAGAAACCUAAUGCCAAUUAUGGAAAAAAUGGCAUUAUGGAGUUUUUUCAGGGUCCUAAUUUGUCACCUUGCCACAUGGAAUGACGCUGUAGGGAAAGGUACAUUCAGAGACCCCCUGCAGGUUGGAACAAGCACAGGGUUUGAGAAUCUCUGGGUGGGAGGAAGAGAGCAGGAGAAAAUGUUGACAGGCAAGAACUGAGACUAGAGAGAAUCUGAAUCCUGAUGGAUGCCAGCUGGGUGCACCAAUGACCCCCAAGUUGUGGCUUAGAACCAGGAGUGGAGGCCAGGGACUUGUUACAAAUCUAAAUCCUUCGUUUUAUCUCAGAUCUACUGAAUAAUGACUCUGGGGCAGGCUCUGCUGUCUCCUUUGCAAGAUCACCCAGUGAUUCUCAUGCUUCAGGUCUAGUGGGACGAGAGCAUACUCAAAGGUACUAUGGAAACAUAACAUGUUAGCCCAGCCAAGCAAGAGCAGCUCCUACGAUAAGGACUGACAGCUAAGAUCCACCCCAACCAAUUAAGCUGUUGAGUGAGACAAAUAUAUCUGAUGUUUUCUGAAAGCCCACCAGGUCACGUUAAUGCGGGACCAGCUUUGAUGCUUAGACUACAGGUUUGUAAUAAGCAACAAACCAAUCACCGAGAGAGGAUUAUGUUGAGUUCUCUCUCAUUUCAGCCUGAUAAUGUUGGUCUGUAACUAACACCAUCUUCUAUUGGUCAAUAGCAGUUGUCCAUGAACUUGAUAACAAUGCUCUAUGACUGUUGAUAUCAAAAAGUUCUUCUUUCCUAAGAAGCUUGAGGUCCGCUUGUGUUCACACAGACUAAGUUGUCAAUUAGCCGGGCAGAAUUAUUUGGGUAUGGAGGUGGGGAGUGGACCACUAUGAAACCAAAUAAAAUAUUUGCAUUUUCCCUUAUGAGUUAAAAAAAAUAAAAAGUAGAUACUCCCCCCACCCUAGGUCCGGUGUCAUCUUUAUUCAUCAUAAAGCCUUGGGCACCCAUGAACUGAGAAAUCUAUUACUGAUGAAGGUCUUAUGGUUGGGGACUUAUCUCAGAAGAUGCAGGUAGGGUCUCAAGAUGGUUUAUAAGCUGAAAAUCAAGCAGACCAAUAAUUGUCCCCAACCAUUCCUUAAUGGCUGAGCCUGAAGAGAUCAUGAAAACCAACCCCCCAUCCCUCAAGUCCAGUUGCCCACAUUCCUUCAGAACUCACUACACAGUGGGCUAGCCUGCUGUCUCUCUCUUCCUCCUUCCCUCCAUCCUUCACUUGCUCAUCAGAGGGUGGGUGGUUAAGUGUCAUCUUCAGACACUCUCACAAGUACUUUAUGUACAUGAUGUCUGUGAAUCACCAUCUCAUCCCACCAGACAGGUGUUAAUGCUGUGAUGGUCCCCAUUUUACUGCAGAGUCCAGAUUGGGAUUCGGUAUUUGCCCCAGAGUCAUACCAUCCCCCUGCUUCUAUAAGCCAGCUCCUGGAACAUUGUCUGCAUAUGACUUUCCUUACAGCUGAUAGGCCAUACAUAAGAACAUCCUAAACAUGGAAGGUCAUGGGAGAUGCCUAGAUUGGUUAUUCUCAGUGUGAUAAAACGCCUGGUUAAAAAAAUCACUCUUGAAAGGAAGAGUUUAAUUUAGCUCACAGUUUCUGGGUAUGGUCCAUCAUGGCAGGGAAGGUUCAGUGACAAGAGCAUGAUGCAGCUGGUCACACUGCAUCCAGUCAGGAAGCAGAUAGCAACAGAUGCUGAGGCUAGCCCAAAACUGCAGGCCACAGAACAGUGAUGCCUUCACUCAAUCUAGAAAACCCUUCAUGGCCAUGCCCGGCGGCGUGUCUACUAGGUGAUUGAUUCUAGGUCCUAUUAAACUGACAGCAGAAUUAAGCUUGAUCUGCACAAACACACACAGUCUAAAACAUUAGCGCCUCCUUCAGCAUCGCCAGGCUGGGCUGGAAUUGUCUUUUCUUCUGGGGAACAAAGCAGACUCUCUGAAGGAAUGGGCUUUUACUCAGGAAGAGUUCUUGGAUGACUAGUUGGCUGCUCAGAUUAACAUCUCCCUUGUCCCCCCUUUCUGCUCCAAUCGCUGCUGCUACUGCUGCUAAAUCUCCUUGUAACUAUGCAAAGGAAGUGGACGAGCUCAUUCCAGUAUUUCCUGGGACUCUAUUGAAGGACACAAGGAAUCCUAUUGCCUAGGGAGAGAGACAAGAGCCAUGGCACACCUGUGUUCCACCGCCACGUCCCUUAAAUAGCUCUAAUUCCAGCCCCCUAAUGAAAAGCAGAACAUGGUGACAAGCCCAGUGAAACCCUUGAGCUACUUUACAGCAGUUUGCACACUGAGCAACCCCAUAGAUUACAGAAUGAACGUCAGCCCUUGAGUUGCAUGACACGUAAUUCACAAUCCACAUGUGACAGUCCUGUGAACUGUCCUUGAGACUUUGCCACAGCAAACAGAAAGCAAAGUACUAUACACACACUUUUUCCAGGACAAAGCAGGAGUUGAAGACUCUAUUAUAUUGUAGUUUGCUAUCAAGUCUUCUCUUAAAUUCAUAUUGCCAUCUGUUCAAGAAAUGUCUGUCUAAGGACUAGAGAGAUAGUUCAGGAAUUAAGAGCACAUUCAGCUUAUACAGAUGACCCAGGUUCAGUUCCCAGCAUCCUUGUCGGGCAGUUGUGACGCAUUCAUAGCUCCAGCUUUAGGAUUUCUGACUCCCUCUUUUGACCUCCAAAGGCAUCUAAACUCACAUACACAAACACACACACACACACACACAACUAAAAAUAAGAUUAAAGACUUUUAAAAUUAUCUUCAUAAAAUAAUAGAUCCUUAUUUAUUUUCCUGGUUGUUACACACUUGUUGGAAUAUAUACAUAUGUGUUUAUGUGUGUUCAUGAAUAGAAAUGCUAUAAAAAUAUAACUGAAUUAUAUAUAGGGCUUCCUGGGUCAUACCUAUGUGGAUGGCCAGCCAGACUACAGCCUCAGGACUGAGACCCAGGCAUAUGAUAUAUGGCAGAGCACUGGUCAUGCUGAUGUGCGUGCAUGGUGAUAGUGGUGCACACAGCAACCACAGCUGCAGGAGGCUUCUGUGAGUAGGACUGUUUGAAAUGGCUGAGUUCAGAGCCAGAAAGACUCCCAAGGAGAAGAACCUGGAAAGGGGUCUCACUAGAAACAGAAGAGCUGAGGCCACAGGAGUGGGAGGACCUCGUAAGGCAAUACUUUUCAGCUUCUCCAACCAUGGCUCUCAGUGAGCCACAGACUUUACAGCACAUAUCAGCAUUCAUGCAUGCACAUGCAUGCAUAUACACACACAUAUACACAUCAUACACACGUAGACGCACAUAAACAUACACAUGUGAGCACUUACAUAUAAAUGUGGACAUGCGCACACACAUGAACACAUACACACAUAUAUGCAAAACUAGGCAUGCAUCCAUACAUACACAUGUAUAUGUGAACAUGUAUAUAGAGACACAUAUGUACAAAUGUGCACACAUAUAUACAGUACACAACAACAAGAACAACAAGAACCCAAUGGAAGUAUUCCAAGCUACCUCUCACUCCACUUGGGGUGUAGCACUCUGAUGGUAUUAUGGUAAACCUAGUUCUUUUGUUGAAUGCUGUUAUGUUUCAGUUUCAAGAACACCGCUUUAUGGAGGAAAACAGAGAGUUUUGACAGAAGGUAGGACUAGGUCCAAGCCAGUAAGAAGCUUUGAUCAGUAGUGGCUCAGCAGUGGACCAUAUCAAUGACCCACUAGCCUUAUCUAUGAAGCCCUUCUGCCUGUGCUGAGGACAUCCUCAGGAGACUCAUGUUGACCAAAUGAUCUAUCUUCACUGAAAGGAAACUAGUUGGCUCACAUCCUCAGGCCUCUGGCGACACAGCUUAAUAGUCCAACAAGGAUUCGUAUUCUCACCUGACCUUACAAUAAAAGCCUUUAUAGGAGAGAGCUGAAGGUUGCACACUCUAAUAGGGUCAAAGCAUCAGGCUUCUCUGAGGGAAUUCUCUCAAGGAAGUUAGUGUCUGGGUUGACAUCAGUGGGAAAAAGCUACUUCCUAAAAAUAGCUCGGGCUAUUACAUAGAUAUUCUAGAAAUGCUGCUCUGUCAACGGCAGCUCCUUCUCUCUUGUCCUGCAGUAUAGAACUGCGGUUUUGUCUCCUCACUUGGUGUGACCAGACUUUGGAAGUUAAAAUGUCAAGAGAAUGUAAGGGAGUCAGUUCAGGACUUACCCAGACACCAAAUCCUCCUCAUAAAAGAGAUUCAUUACCCAGGAGGGCAAGCAGUGGGGGACUCUGCAAAGGCAUACAUACCAAAGUAGAAAGUAGCAAGCAAGUGAGUUUUUUGUUUGGUUUUUUGGUUGUUUUGUUUUGUUUUGUUUUGUUUUGUUUUGUUUUGUUUUGUUUUGUAGGUAUGGGUUUUUAAGGAGAAACGGGUGAAUCAGUGCUUGGAUGAGUUUGUAUGUCCUGAUUGGACAUGUUAGUUAAAUAAUGAAAUGUGAUUGUUGGACCUUGUUGUUUAGUCUCAGAAUUAAGACAGGGGUCAAAUAAUGGAAUGAACCCUGGGUGCUGGUUUUAAGGAUGCUGUCUAAUGGUUUUUAGCAAGGGAGAGGGAAAGGAGAAGCAGACCAAAACCUGUCGAUUCCAUGUUUGGGCCUGUGUUGGCCACACUCGGGAUGGCUAGAGCCCUUCAGUAAGCAGUUCACCUGUCCCAGGAUUAUGAUCCUGAAUUAAGAGGGAAGAGUUUAAGCAUAGGAUCUAUCCUGAGACUGGCAAUUCCCAGGCAAGGUGGUCAAGGAUUCCCCUCCUCUCGGCUUUUUGCCUUUGCCCCUGGAGGACCUGGGCUCUAACCCUAGAUGAAGGCUACAGGGAGACAUAGGGGAAACCAGCUGCUCUCAGCCUCUAUCCUCACCCAUGGGGCAAACUGAUUUAUGAUCUGACCUUCCAUUUCUUCUGGAAGACUGGAAUAAUGAUAAAUACCUUGCAGUAGUAUUAUAAAGGUCAGACACAAUGAAUGUAAAACAGGAGAGAGCCUGUCAUUUGGCGUGUAGAGGUGCUAGAAAGGAUCACAGUCACACUUGCCACUAUCAUUUCCACGGUCAAAGUCUGACAAUGAAUAGGAAAUGGAUUGUGACUAUAGUUACCAUGACUCAUUGUGUGUGUGGUGCCUUCUACCCAGCUCAAUACAUAUCGGAGCAGUAAGGAGCCAGUGGCUACACAGAAGGAAGGUCCCCAAGGAGAACAAAAUAUAUUUGAAGUGGGAGCAGUCAAGUCACAAUGUGACAUGAGCAAUUUAAAAGAAGAAAGGCUGAACAACUGACUUCACUGUACACCAUAUUCGCAGCUCUCAAUGCUCCUACAUUGAAAGACCCCAUCCUUCCAAGUCCUAUAGGACAUAGACCUGUUUUCAUUGUCUCCAAAUUCUUCCCAACCCCUCACUUCACUCUGUUUCCGGCACACCACAUAGGGAUGCUUGCCAAUGCCUUGCCAUGUAGGAUUGGACAACCCUGCAACUCUGAUUUUGAUACUCAGGUUUUGCUUGAGAGGUUUCUUGAUGGUUAGGGCUAAAAAGCCAACACAGAGGCUCUUUGCAAAAGAAGCAUGCUGGGUCUAUCUGCAAGCCCAGAAAGAAGUGUGCUAAUGCCUUUCAAGUGAGAUGGUAAGGGGUUCCUGCAGGGUGAUGCACCUGAGAUCGGGCAGGAGCCAUGAGUCAGUAUGUCCACUGAGCUGUGAACUCCAUGAUAAGGGCCUUUUGGGGAAGGGAGAUGCAUCAGUCCAUGAAUUUUGCACAGAUAAGAAACAUUCACUUUGAAAAUGUCAACCAAAACUCAGAAAAUGAGCUGAUAUGAGCAAAGUUUGCUGUGCCUGGAAGUAAACUCUUGAUUAUGUAAAUUCAUUAACUUUUAGAUUAGACCAUUCGUGCUAUUAAGAUAAGCAGAAUAAACAAACUCAACACAAGGGAAAGCUCAGACAGCUUCCCCCUCACUACUCCUCCUCCUUUUCUUAGUGUUCUGAGACAUGGUCUCAUGUAGCCCAGACUGACCACCAACUUGCUAGGUAGAUGAAGAUAACCUUGAACUCCAAUCUGAAAUCUGAGGGUUAUAGGUAUGAGCUGUAAUACAUGGUUUACAUGAUGCUGGGUAUGGAACACAGGGUUUCAUGUAUGCUAUGCAAAUAAUGUAUCAAAUGAACCAAACAAAUAGCCUUUGUUCACUAAUAUUUAUUGAUUGAUUCAUUCAUUCAUUCAUUCACUCUACAUCCCAAUCGUGCCCCCACCCCAACCUUCCUUUACUCCCAGUCCCAUCCUUCAAAUUCCUUCCCCCAUUACUCCCUCCCCUUCUCAUCAGGGAAGGGGAAGUCCCCCUUGGGUACAACCCUACCCUGAGACAUCUAGUUGCAGUAGGCCUAAGAGAAUCCUCUCCCUCUGAAGCUCAACUAGGUAGUCCAUUUCAGGAAGG